GCCAGUGGGGAAUUUUGCGCAAUGGGCGAAAGCCUGACGCAGCAACGCCGCGUGAGUGAUGAAGGCUUUCGGGUCGUAAAGCUCUGUCGAGGGGAAAGAAGUGUAUUGCGGCUAAUAUCCGCGAUACUUGACGGUACCCCUAAAGGAAGCACCGGCUAACUCCGUGCCAGCAGCCGCGGUAAUACGGGGGGUGCAAGCGUUGUUCGGAUUUAUUGGGCGUAAAGAGCGUGUAGGCGGUUUGUUAAGUCUGUUGUGAAAGCCCUGGGCUCAACCCAGGAAGUGCACUGGAUACUGGCAGACUUGAAUACGGGAGAGGGUAGUGGAAUUCCUAGUGUAGGAGUGAAAUCCGUAGAUAUUAGGAGGAACACCGGUGGCGAAGGCGGCUACCUGGACCGAUAUUGACGCUGAGACGCGAAAGCGUGGGUAGCAAACAGGAUUAGAUACCCUGGUAGUCCACGCCGUAAACGAUGAGAACUAGGUGUUGCGGGUAUUGACCCCUGCAGUGCCGCAGCUAACGCAUUAAGUUCUCCGCCUGGGAAGUACGGUCGCAAGACUAAAACUCAAAGGAAUUGACG
rnacentral:rRNA from 1 species